GAUAAGACAUAAGAGUCAUAAGACUCUAGUCCACCCACAGCCACAAGUCUUCUUAGAUAAGACUAUAAGCCUCCAUCUCCAAAACCAGUAAACCAUGGUACCAUUUGGAUUCUGGAUCUGCAGUGUGCAGAGCAGAUGAAAAGUCAUAUAUAGUCUAUACCUAGAGAGCACAGAGUUGAGACGGAACGGAUCACUGAUCAGAUCGAAGGAAGCAUGAGCCACCAACAAAAGAUUUAAAAGUAGAACCAGUGUAGAGAAAGAAUGAGAGAGGCAGAGAGCAAGAGCUGAGAGAGAGAGAAGCCUCCAUGACCGAAGCUUGCUCAAGGGUAGGCAAAUACAAAAAUACCCAUUCCAAGUCCAAAUCUAUUUUGAUGGAGCUCCUUUUGUCUCAUACCAUGUAACUUCUUGGCUCCUUCAAAGCUCCAUGAAAGAAGUCGAUAAAAUACAAUCUAUUCACAUUGUAGAUGUGUAAUUUGUAUCCUUCAUUCUCUUUGAAUAAUUUUUAUUUAAAAAAAAAAAAAAAAACCCCUUCAUUUCUAUUCCGUCAAUGGAAAAAUGAAAGAAAGGAUAGCAUUGGGAAACUUAAUUAUAGAAGAUGGAAAUAGAAUAUAAGUUAAAAUACCCAGACCUUUGCAAAAAUAAUUUGUUUUUGAUUUUGCAAAGCUAAGUUGAAAAUACCCAGACCUUUAUACCAAAACAAAAAAUUUUAGUCAGAUCACAUUGAGCGCUUACUCAUAUCCAUACCCAUUUACAAAUCAACUUAGAAUACCCACGAAUCCAUUUUGAAAAACAAACCAAAAUCUAAAUCAAAUCAUACUAUCUAUAUGGCUUGCAAAAAUGAACAAUACCCACAAAUGCAAAGGGCUUCAUCCACUCAAAACAUACCCAUCUGAAAUCACCAAACCCUUCUCCUUUAGAUUCCCCUCAUGCACAGUUCAAAGACAGAUAGAGGCUUAGAGCUUCGAUCUUGGUAGAUUGAUGAGAGAGAGUGAGUAAGAGUGAGAGAGCGGGAGGUUACAAAAGAGGGUUUGGAUUUGGCAACCACCAGUAUGAUGGCGGUGGCAAGCGGCGGAGAAUAGCAGUGGCGUUGAAGGAACUCAGAGAUUGAGCUUCGGUCAUGCUGUCAUGGAGGCUGAGCAUAGAAGAGAGAGAGAGUGAGUCUGAGUUUGAUCAAAGAGACAGAGAGAGUAAGAGGGACUGAGUUAGAAAAUUGUUGAAUUUUUUUAAUAACGCCACAUGGAAGCUUAUGUGGAAAUUGCCGUGGCAUAAAAGAUAAUAUAUUAAUUUUACUGUUAGCAAGAUAAUAUAUUAAUUUUACUGUUA